UAACAUGGCAAAGUGGCGACGACCACGUGAUCCUUCUUACCAAGACGGAAAGUUUCAAGAUUUUUUUCAUUUUCCCUCUCCCUGUUCUGCAGUUGUCACGCUCGAAGCGCUGCCGCCGUCCACCGAGCCUUCUCCCCUGCUCCCGGCGCCGCUGGCCGAUCGCGAAGUGAAGGAGAAGAGCCACAGGGUCGCAUGAGAUUAGGGCGAGAUUUCUUCUCUUUGCCGGGUUCAGAGUUGAAGCCUAUGUUUAUCUAUCUUCAGGAACUGUAUUUCAGCAAUAUUUAAGCCUUUCUUUUACAGGGAAAGCAAAAACCCAAAAGCAUUUCUAUUUAUCCAAGGAAACUUACAGCUUAGCUUCUGCUAGUGCUUUGCUUUAAGCCUCCACUCUGUAGGUGAUCCAUGGAUGAGAGUACACACAAGCAAAAUGCUCUCAUUUGAGCAAAUGUACCUAGCCAGCCAAUCAGCUACAAAAUUACCUUUAAGUGCAUCGGCAAGAUCGUACUACUAAUUAAUUUAUGUUGGUUGUUCAUGUCUUCUGCAAGGGUGAAAAUCGUUGAAGCAGUGUUUGAUAAGCCAGUGGAUUGCUUGAAGUUUGAGAAAGCAUCAGGGGCUGAAAUCGUGAACUUCACACCGAAGGUGGUGCUCACCAGCUUCAUCUUGUGACAAACUGAAAAAUAAAAAAUUAUCCUUGGUUCUGUCCACAGAAUAGGGGGUCAAACAUUAUAUGGCAUCUCAGUGCUCUGUGGAUGGAUAAACCAUUGAUGUGAUGUGAUGCUGGAUAUGUGGGGGAAACAAAUGAGGGGUUAUUUUUCAGCAACUGAAAUGCUUCCAAUUGGGGGAUGUGGGAUCUGCUGGCAAGCUUGCCAAGCUGGUGAAGCCUCUUCAGGGUCGGAGAUAACAAACAUUUCCUUGUGGUUUACUGAAUUAUUGACUGUACGUACUGUAAGGGUGGCAAGUUUUGACCGGACCUGAGAAACUGAUCUACUUGUUGGGUUGGCUAUAAACAAAUUUGAGGCAUGAAUAUAUAAACCUUGAUCUAUGUUGCAUGGGUUGGUUAUAAAAUAGCUUGAGGCCUAAACAGGUCAACUCGAUCCAAAUGCCACCCAUGCACCAAUCCAAACUGGAAGAGGCAUUACGGACAACAAAAUAUGAUUACUUGUCUUUUUUUUUUUUUUUAUUCAAUACUUUUAAGGUUAGUUUUAGCUCAAUUAUUUCCAAGAAGGGAUACUAAGACAGAAAUCACCAAAGCAUGUCCUGAGCAAACUUUCCUAUCAUUAAAAUCUGGCA